AAAUCGUUAUUUUCUCUUUCCAAUAUAAAACAAGAAUCGGCCUCACUAAUUCGCAAACUUAUUGAUACUGUGUUACGCAACCUCCGUGCAUUGAAGACACUAGAGGAGCCUGUGGACACAUGGGAUACCUUAUUAAUUUAUUUAAUUGUGUCGAAGCUCGAUUUAGCUACGGAGAGUGACUGGGAAAAACAUAAGGGCACUCUUGUUUUAAAUUCGUCACGAAAGUUGAAAUUAGAUGAUUUGCUAAGGUUUCUUAGGAAUAAAGCGGAUAUGUUGGACAUGAUCAGUGCUAAUCAUAACAAGUUGCAAUCGAAACCAACAAAUAAUGCAACCAAUCAGGCCAAUAAUAAAGUUCAUAGUUAUGUCUCAACAAAUAAUAGUAAUUCCAAAAAUAAAUUCACUAGUAAUAAUAAUAAACGUCAUAAAUGUCCUUCAUGUAACGGUAAUAAUGCUUUGUAUAUGUGUUAUAAUUUUUUGAAUUUAUCUGUACAAGACAGGUCCUUAUUCGUAGAUAAAAAUAAUUUAUGUCGCAAUUGUUUACGAUCUGGACAUGUACUUUCAGAUUGCACGUUUGGCCCAUGCAAGCAAUGUCAGGGCAAACAUAAUAGUCUACUCCACUUUAAUAGUUCUAAUAAAAACAGUGUUAACAGUGACGCCAUGUCCAGUUCUCCCCAGGCUACCUCAAUGCCGACCGGUGCGCUGUUAUCAGUAGGCGGUGAUCCCUUCUAUUCGAAUACAUACACAUGCGCAGGCGAUCUACCACUGCAACCUGUUUUGUUAUGCACGGCAUUAGUGGAUGUGAUUGAUAAAGAUAAUCGUAUGCAUACAGCCCGAGCGCUGUUAGACUCUGGGAGUCAACAUAGUUUUAUUUUAGAUAGAUUAAGAAAACGUCUUAAUGCGCCUCUUAUACAGUCCACUAUUCGAAUUUCGGGUGUCGGACAAUCAGUGUCGCACUCUAAUCAUUUAUGCGAAAUUACUUUUAAAUCAAAAAUAUGCGAUUAUACGGCGAAGGCCAGAUGUAUUGUCUUGCAGCGCAUAACAAACGGUUUGCCCACGACAUGCAUUGAUGAAGCCCUCAUACGAAUGCCAAAUAAUAUUCAGCUUGCUGAUCCGUCUUUCUGUGUUCCUUCAGAUAUCGAUUUAUUGAUUGGUGCAGAUUUAUUUUGGAGUUUGUUAUGCGAAAAUAGGAUUCAAUUAUCGAAUGGUCCCUGCUUACAAAAUUCGAAGUUAGGUUGGCUUAUUUCUGGUCCUAUAAACAACAAUAAAAAUUUGUCUACCAAUCAAGUACAUUGUCAUUUGUCACAAACUCUGAGCGAACAACUUACGCGAUUUUGGGAAAUAGAAGAAAUGCCUCAGUCAGGUAGUCCUCUGAAUAACGACGAGCGUUUGUGUGAGGAUUUGUUUGUUAAAACUACUAUUCGAAUGGCUGACGGUAGAUUCUCGGUACGUAUCCCGCUUAAAGAAUCAGCUGACUCGUUAGGCGAUUCUUAUACGUUAGCAAAAAAUAGAUUUUUUUCAUUAGAACGUAAAUUAGAACGUUCUCCUGAUUAUAAACGUAUGUAUGUCGAAUUUAUGCGUGAAUAUGAAGCUUUGGGACAUAUGGAACGCAUAGAUAUGCCCAAAAGCCCUAAUUAUUUUUUACCACACCACGGUGUUUAUAGGGAAGGUGCUGUGACUACUAAAUUACGCGUUGUUUUUAAUGCUAGUGCUGUCACUACUUCGAAUAAAUCGUUAAACGAUAUACAGUUACCAGGUCCAGCACUUCAAAAUGAUAUAUUCGGUAUUUUAUUAAGAUUUCGUCAGUACAAGUAUGUUGCCUGUGCCGAUGUUUGUAAAAUGUUUAGGCAAGUCAUGGUUCAAUCAGAUCAAAGGUCGUUGCAACUUAUAGUUUGGCGUGAAAACCCAACUGAUCCUUUACAGGUCUACCAAUUAACUUGCGUGACUUAUGGUACUGCGUCAGCCCCGUACCUUAGUAUGCGUUGUAUUCGUCAGCUAGCCUCAGAGUGUGAAGAUAAAUUUGUUGCUCGCGUUAUUAAUGAUGAUUUUUUCGUUGACGAUCUAAUAACGGGACACGAUAAUUACAAAACCUUGCUAGACAUUUGUGAGAAAACACGCCAAGUCCUGCAGUCUGGAUGCUUCCCACUCCGCAAGUGGACAUUCAACUCUGACGUCACACGAUGUGCUUCGAUAAAGAAUUUCGAAGGCGAGCAUACUCAAAACAAAACAUUAGGCGUAGGUUGGAACAGCGAUAGUGAUGAGUUACACUUCACUACGAAAAUUGAUUUUAAUUCAGAUAAUUCAAAAUUGAAUAAACGUCAAAUGUUGUCCAUCAUAGCUCAAAUUUAUGACCCCUUAGGAUUAUUAUCAGCAUCUAUAAUAAUUGCAAAAAUAUUAUUGCAAAAGUUAUGGGCUAAUAAACUAAGUUGGGAUGAUGAAGUUCCUCAGGACAUUGCCGAAUCAUGGAAUUAUUUUAUCGGUACAUUAAAGUGCUUAAGCGAAUUAAAAAUUCCACGUUGCGUUUUAAAUACGUAUAGGCAAUAUACUGAGCUCCAUAUUUUCUGUGAUGCUUCUUCGAAUGCAUAUGGUGCAUGUGCCUAUAUACGUACCUAUAGCGAUGGCUCGUCAAAUCCCACAGUAAGACUUCUUUGUGCCAAAACAAAGGUCGCACCUUUAAAGUCACUUACUAUCCCAAGACUUGAGCUGUGUGGUGCUUAUGUAGGUGCUAAAUUGUAUAAACAUAUUGUAGAUUCGUUGAGAUUGUCCUUCACUAAAACUUACUUCUGGACUGACUCGACUAUCGUACUAGGAUGGUUACAAAUGUCUCCACAUUUAUUAAAAACAUUUGUUCAAACUCGUGUAGCAAAAAUUAAAAAUAUAACAGAGGAGUCUGAGUGGCUACAUGUACCUAGUAAAGACAAUCCAGCAGAUUUAUUGUCCAGAGGCGUUUAUUUAAAUUUAUUAAUUGAUAAUAAUUUGUGGUGGAACGGACCGUAUUUUUUACAGUCUCGUGAAUUCAGUUUAGAUUUUAUACGUGAUAAUAAUGAGUCGGUAGAAUUAAAUGAUUUGCCUGAGUUAAAGCCUCCUACUAAAGUUAGCUUUGUUUGCAUUCCAGUCGAGAACGAUUUAUUUGAAUUCAAAAGAUAUUCGUCAUAUAUUAAACUUUUACGCAUAGGUGCAUUUGUUUUGAGAUUUAUAGAUAACAUUCGCAGCCGACAUCAGAGCGUCUCAAAACAACAAACCGGUUUUCUAACCACGGACGAGCUGCGUGCAUCACAGGCAUUGCUAGUAAAGUGUGCACAACGCGAAUCGUUCCCGGACGUUUAUGACAAUUUAUUGAAUAAUACGACUGUAAAAACAAAUAAAUCGCAAUGGAAUCGUUUAUCAGGUCUUAAUUUGUUUUUAGAUGAUCGUAAAGUAAUUAGAGUCGGUGGUAGGCUGUCAAAUUCGUCUGAUUUCAACUACGAUAAGAAACAUCCAGUGUUGUUAUGUAAUAAACAUUAUUUUACGUUACUGUUGGUUAGAUACGAGCAUAGACGUUUACUUCAUGCCGGUCCACAGCUGCUAUUGUCUUCACUGCGCGAGUGUUGGUGGCCACUGAGUGCUAGGAACUUAGUAAAGAAAAUAGUUCGUGAGUGUGUUACGUGUGCGCGAAUAAAAGGCAAAAUGUUAUCUCCUAUAAUGGGAAAUUUGCCAUCUGAGCGAUUGGAUGGUGGAUUUCCAUUUAUUACAACCGGCUGUGAUUAUUGUGGGCCACUGUUCAUACUGAACCGGAAGGGCAGAGGAGCCCAGUUAACUAAAGCACCCUUAUGACUUCAACCCGCUAACGCCUGGUCAUUUCCUUAUUGGCCGGCCGUUGACUGCUCCUGCUAGCACCGACGACGUAGCAGCUGCGACAUCUACGACUCCGGCGCUCAACCGAUAUCGACGCAUCGAGCAAAUUCGUUUACAUUUCUGGCAACGAUGGUCGAAAGAGUACAUAGCUGAGCUCCAGACGCGGACUAAAUGGAAGACGAAUAAAAACGAUAUUGCCAUGGACAGCAUGGUCCUUAUAAAGGAUGAUAACCAGCCGCCUCUGAAGUGGAAAUUGGGACGGAUCGUGAAGACUUAUCCUGGUGCGGACGGAGUUUCUCGUGUUGCUGACAUACGGACGGCUACAGGAAUAAUAAGAAGAUCGUUCUCCAAGAUCUGCCCGUUAUCGCUGCAGCCCGAGAGUUGAAUAAAUCCAGAAGACGUCAUACUUUGGAAGUCGGAGUCUUCCAAGGCCGGGGGCAUGUUUAUGAUACCACUAUCGCCAUCUAUGAGUGAGAAGUCGGCAACUUUUUCAUCGAUCAUCAGUUGUACGCGCCCCACCACUGGUAGAUCUCUCUAGAAAAACUGUCUCGUCCACGCGCGCUUGAGAUAGCACAAAUUUAAUAUAAUUAUUCUGUUUUACUGUAAAUCUUUCCAAUAAACGUAUUUUAAUCGUCUAAUAAAA